rnacentral:rRNA from 1 species
UUUGACCUCAAAUCAGGUAGA